rfam:Operophtera brumata OBRT01_Sc04392, whole genome shotgun sequence.
CGUUCUAUGCCCGAACUGGUGAAGGCAUCGCCGAUUACAGUUGAAGAUGUGGGUUCGAGUCCCACUGGAACGG